CGGAGACAAUCGUCGAUGCUUACCACAGCGACCGCUCCGCUGCCCAAAACUUCGACGGGACUCAAGGUCGUGUAGAAAGCGACGUUCGUCAAGACGUAGAUGACUGUGACGAGGGUGCAGGAUAUGCCGAUCGCGAGGGGCGAACAGCCCGGAAUAAAAGCUCAGCGCUAUGCUGGUGAUUUCGGUCUUGGUGUUGUCGAAGGUGAAGUACUCGGUGUUUCCUGCUCGAGAUUUUUCGAGGUUAUUGUCAAAAGGAAUAAAAGCCCCGGGGGAAGGCGAGAGGAGUGAAAUGCCUGAGAAGCCGAUCGCGUUCGAUGACCUUGAUCUUCGUGCAGGUCUCUGGCCUAUUGAGCGCUUCUAAACAAAGAGGAGCGAGACGGAGCGCUCGUGGAGCACAAUGUGGAGAGUAACUUGAUAAUUCAAUCAAGAAAGUAAAUCCGGAGGAGGACGCGAACGUGGGAGCUGGAGGACUCGCGUCGGGAUCGAGCGCCCUUUUUCUUCGGGGCUCUUUGAACUUCGAAGUCCGGAAGAAAAAGCACAGGAGCGCGGAGGGAAGACGAGGCUGGCGGGCCGGCAGAGGCAGAAACGGAGACAGCCACGAAUCAUUUGGAUAAAGUUUGAAUGGUCCAAUUUAACCGAUAUUCUUUACACGCACGAGGUUUGUACCCGGCGUGAGUUGCUCUACUCUCGCGGACGUAUUUAGAUCGGCUUUUUGAUUGGGCAAAUUGUCUCGUCCGGUAAGAGAACGACGCUGUGAAAAGACAGGAGGAGCAAGAGUAGUAGAGCCGAAUCUAUACAGAACGCUAUUCAUAGUUAUGUACGUGUGUAAGCCAACAUUAAUCGUGAUAAAGAUCGUAGAAUGUUGUUCGUAAACUCACGCGUAUGAAAAC